rnacentral:rRNA from 1 species
AAUUCCAGCUGAUCCUGCUGGCGGGUACUGCUAUGGGAAUGCGACUAAGACAUGCAAGUCUAAGAGUGCUAGCCAUGAAGCACUCUGGCGGACGGCUCAGUAACACGUGGACAAUCUACCCUAAGGAGGGGUUAAUCCCGGGAAACUGGGGCUAAUGCCACAUAGGUAAUAGGUACUGGAAUGUCCUAUUACCGAAAGGCUGCUGUUUCAUGCUACAGUAGCGCCUUAGGAUGAGUCUGCGGCGGAAUAGGUAGUUGGCGGGGUAACUGCCCACCAAGCCGAAGAUCCGUACGGGCCUUGGAAGAGGGAGCCCGGAGAAGGGCACUGAGAUAAGGGCCCUAGCUCUACGGAGUGCAGCAGUCGCGAAACCUUUACAAUGCGCGAAAGCGCGAUAAGGGUAUUCCCAGUGCCAGCUCUGCUGGCUUUUGUCGAGUUUAAAAAACUCGGCGAAUAAGUGGGGGGUAAGAUACGUGCCAGCCGCCGCGGUAACACGUACUCCACGAGUGGUACCCACUUAUAUUGAGCCUAAAACGCCUGUAGCUCGUCCGAAAAGUCGCUUGUGAAAUCGCUCUGCUCAACAGAGUGGCGCGCGGGCGAUACUAUCGGGCUCGAGGCCGGGAGGAGGCAGGGGUAUUUCCAGGGUAGUGGUGAAAUACGAAGAUCCUGGAAGGACCACCGGUAGCGAAGGCGCCUGCCUAGAACGGACCUGACGGUGAGAGACGAAAGCCAGGGGAGCGACCCGGAUUAGAUACCCGGUUAGUCCUGGCCGUAAACGAUGCAGACUUGGUGUUCCGACAGCGCAAGCUGCCGGGGUGCCGAAGGGAAGCCGUUAAGUCUGCUGCUUGGGAAGUAUAGCCGCAAGGCCGAAACUUGAUGGAAUUGGCGGGGGCGCACUACAAGGGGUGGAUGUUGCGGUUCAAUUGGACACAACGCCAGGCAACUCACCAGGGCCGACAGCAGAAUGAUGGUCAGUCUGA